rnacentral:rRNA from 1 species
CUACGGGCGGCUGCAGUAAGGAAUAUUGCGCAAUGGAGGCAACUCUGACGCAGCCAUGCCGCGUGCAGGAAGAAGGCCUUAUGGGUCGUAAACUGCUUUUAUUUAGGAAUAAACCCCCGAACGUGUUCGGGGCUGAAGGUACUAAACGAAUAAGCACCGGCUAACUCCGUGCCAGCAGCCGCGGUAAUACGGAGGGUGCAAGCGUUAUCCGGAUUUAUUGGGUUUAAAGGGUGCGCAGGCGGGCUAUUAAGUCAGUGGUGAAAUCCCGGGGCUCAACUCCGGAACUGCCAUUGAUACUGAUAGUCUUGAGUUUGGUUGAAGUGGGCGGAAUGUAGCAUGUAGCGGUGAAAUGCAUAGAUAUGCUACAGAACACCAAUCGCGAAGGCAGCUCACUAAGCCAAAACUGACGCUCAUGCACGAAAGCGUGGGGAUCAAACAGGAUUAGAUACCCUGGUAGUC